UUAAGUUCAGCGGGUAUCCCUACCUGAUCCGAGGUCAAAAGUGAAAAAGGCUUGUGGAAGCGGGCGUAUAGCCUUGAAUCGCGACUUGUGCUGCGCUUCAAAACCAAAACACUGGCUGCCAAUGACUUUAAGGCGAGUCCUCGGGACAAACACCCAACACAAGCAAAGCUUGAAGGUACAAAUGACGCUCGAACAGGCAU
rnacentral:misc_RNA from 1 species